CUGGGGAGGGCUUCUGAGCUCCU
rnacentral:miRNA from 2 species